rnacentral:rRNA from 1 species
AUCGCCACGGGGGGCAGCAGUAGGGAAUUUUCGUCAAUGGGCGCAAGCCUGAACGAGCAAUGCCGCGUGAACGAGGAAGGUCUUCGGAUCGUAAAGUUCUGUUGAAGGGGAAAAAGAGCGGAGAGAGGAAAUGAACUCCGAUUGAUAUUACCCUUCGAGGAAGUCACGGCUAACUACGUGCCAGCAGCCGCGGUAAUACGUAGGUGGCGAGCGUUAUCCGGAAUGAUUGGGCGUAUAGGGUGCGUAGGCGGCCUGCUAAGUCUGGAGUGAAAGGGACA